rnacentral:lncRNA from 1 species
CUCCAUUCGCCAUUCCAUAAGUAUGCCUGCUAUGAGACGAAAGUAGGCGGUACGAACCCUAAUGGAGGCAGUUUUGAGGAGGUCCUCAGCUCCACGGCCCAUGCCAGUGCCCAGAGCUUGGCAGGAGGCUCCCGGCGGACCAAGGAGGAGGAGCUGCAGUGCUAAGUCCAGCCAGCGUGCAGCUGCAUCCAGAAACCGGCCACUACCCAGCCCAUCUCUGCCUGUGCUUAUCCAGAUAAGAAGACCAAAAUCCCGCUGGGAAAAACCCAGGCCUUGACAUUGUUAUUCAAAUGGCCCCUCCAGAAAGUUUAAUGAUUUCCAUUUGUAUUUGUGUUGAUGAUGGACCACUUGACCAUCACAUUUCAGUAUUCAUAGAUGACUGUCACAUUUUAAAAUGUUCCCACUUGAGCAGGUACACAACUGGUCAUAAUUCCUGUCUGUGUAAUUCGAUGUAUAUUUUUCCAAACAUGUAGCUAUUGUUUGCUUUGAUUUUUGCUUGGCCUCCUUUAUGAUGUGCAUGUCCUUGAAGGCUGAAUGAACAGUCCCUUUCAGUUCAGCAGAUCAACAGGAUGGAGCUCUUCAUGACUGUCUCCAGCAAUAGGAUGAUUUACUAUAAAUUUCAUCCAACUACUUGUGAUCUCUCUCACCUACAUCAAUUAUGUAUGUUAAUUUCAGCAAUUAAAAGAAUUGAUUU